CUUACUUUGACAACCUAGGAUUUAAAAAAAGAAUUUACUUUUUGGAUACCCUUCCACCUUUUUUUUCUUCUUGCUUUUUUUUUUUGUUUGUUUGUUUUGUUUUGUUUUUGUUUUUUUUUUGGUUUUUUUUUUGUUUGUUUUUUUUUUUGUUUUCCUGGUAACCUCCAUCUGAAAGGAUUUAUUAAUUAAACCAGUAGAAUGGAGUAAUCACUUUACAAGGGUAGUCAGCUUCCCCAUUUUCUCCUAAGGUGCAAAAAGGACAAAAUAUUAUUUUGCUAUUUUAUAUAGCUGAAAACAAGUGAGAACAACUGACAAUAAUUACAUUAGAGAAAGUUAGUCUUCAUUUUAUUCUUAUUGAAUGCAAUGAAAGGAAAAAACAGUCUGAAGAAAAGGAGCAUGACACAGAAGAAAGCACAUAUUUCAACCUCACUAAAAUAAAGAGAUAGAAAUCAUAUGUAACAGACUUUUCAAUGUGCAAUUGCCUGAUGAAAGUGCUACUCUUCAGCUUAAUUUAAAAGGAAAUUUUUAUUAUCAAGAAUAUCAAAAGCAAAUGUUGUUAUACAACAUUUUUAUCUGAUUAUUUAAUCAAAUCUUUCCCUUAUCACCUGUUCAAAAGCUUGCCAUUUCAGCAAUAUUUCAAUAAUUAAAUUUGUGUUAAGAAAACCAUACUGGUUAACUUGGGCUACAACAAAGUGUUCAUCUUAUUCCAGUUCUCCAGCUCUGGCAGAAGUCACUAUGGGGCCUGUGAAUGCAGGAUAAGAACAGACUGAAAUUUCACCUCCAGCUUCUAGUUUUCCUGAAGCGACUUUUCUUCCUUCUACUCUUCCACUUUCUGAACAUGCUGAGCAACUUUAAAUAUAACCAAGGGGUACAGAUGAAGUAUAUUUGUGUACUUGCACAAAUGCUGAACAGUGUCCUUUCUGCUGCUAUUCACACAAAGGACGUAGAUUUUCAUUUGCCACUUUGUAUGGCAAAACCUGCUCAAUUUAAAUAUUGACUGGAUUCUGUUGUUAUUAUGGUAAGUCAUCAUAAAUAUAAGUUUCCUUUUCUUUGGUACUAAUAAUUUAGUUUUGGUGGUUAAUUUUUAGCUGGAUUAGCUUCCUAAAAGAGCUCACUCACUAGUCUCAAAAAUGUGAAUAUUAACAGAGUGGAGAGAGAGAAAGCAAAGAGGCUCAGAGUAAUGAAGGAUAAUUGUAUCAUAGAGUGUUGGAUAUAGGUGACAUUAAGCUGAGAUGGAAUUACAUGCUUUAUUUCCUGUACUUAACAGAACUAAUCUCUGAUUCCAUGUCAACACCCAGCAUGUGAGGACAGCUUGCCUUUUGCAUAGUGUAGAUUAUACAUGACAAUGACUUUUAGAUUAGGUGUUCUGUCAUACAAUUAUUUUUCCUCAUGUUAGAAAAACAAAUAUUUACAACAGGAGAAGCAGUUUUUCAGCCCCCUGUGUCUUUUAGCUAAGAAGAAAGGGGCGAGGAAGUUACUUCUUUAUUUUCCUUUAUUUCUCAUGACAGUGUACAUUUUUGAGUAAAAUUGAAUUGGCUUCAGUGAAAUACUUCAAGUCUUGGAAAAUUGAAUACUUCACAUCUCAUAAAUUACCCCUCUGAUCUGAAAUAAUUAUAUAACUAUUUAUUAAAAAAUAAUGAAUGUGGUAGGUU
rnacentral:lncRNA from 1 species